rnacentral:piRNA from 1 species
UGUGAGGCGCUUUUGUCCGUGUGUAUUAUC